rnacentral:rRNA from 1 species
UACGGAGGGUGCAAGCGUUAAUCGGAAUUACUGGGCGUAAAGCGUGCGCAGGCGGUUUGUUAAGUCUGUUGUGAAAUCCCCGAGCUCAACUUGGGAAUUGCAAUGGAUACUGGCAGGCUCGAGUAUGGUAGAGGAAGGUGGAAUUCCCGGUGUAGCAGUGAAAUGCGCAGAUAUCAGGAGGAACACCAAUGGCGAAGGCAGCUCGCUGGGACGUGACUGACGCUGAGACGCGAAAGCGUGGGGAGCAAACAGG